GACGAACGCUGGCGGCGUGCCUAAUACAUGCAAGUCGAGCGGAGCUAUUCCUUCGGGGAUAGCUUAGCGGCGGACGGGUGAGUAACACGUAGGUAACCUGCCUGUAAGACUGGGAUAACUACCGGAAACGGUAGCUAAGACCGGAUAACUGGUUCUCUCGCAUGAGGGAAUCAUGAAACACGGAGCAAUCUGUGACUUAUAGAUGGGCCUGCGGCGCAUUAGCUAGUUGGUGAGGUAAUGGCUCACCAAGGCGACGAUGCGUAGCCGACCUGAGAGGGUGAACGGCCACACUGGGACUGAGACACGGCCCAGACUCCUACGGGAGGCAGCAGUAGGGAAUCUUCCGCAAUGGGCGCAAGCCUGACGGAGCAACGCCGCGUGAGUGAUGAAGGUUUUCGGAUCGUAAAGCUCUGUUGCCAAGGAAGAAAUGCCAGGAGAGUAACUGCUCUUGGUUUGACGGUACUUGAGAAGAAAGCCCCGGCUAACUACGUGCCAGCAGCCGCAGUAAUAC
rnacentral:rRNA from 1 species